UGUCAAAUAAAUUUUGUGAGCAGUUUUAAUACCGAGGGUGUGUCUUAUUUUGUGAGUUUUCAUUGGUUUGGAGUUUUUAGACCCUUCAUUGUUGACCAGUGGAAAACUUCCCGCCGAAGUGUUUCAAAUAGCACUUUGUCUUCAAACGAACAAGAUGGACACAUGCAGUUUACAGAAGCAAAAGAUUUGAUUUGAACUGUUCGUGAAACCACACAUACUCCAGAGAAUUUACAAGACUAUUAUCCACAAAAUGCAACAGUCUUAUUUUGAUGAAUUGUUGAACCAGAGAAAUGUGAAGACUUACAGACACCUAGACUGUAUAGUCAACAUAACAAUGAUUAGAGAAUCAGACUACAGUGAACAUUACAAUGAUUAGAAAAUCAGACUAGAGUCAACAUUACAAUGAUUAGAGAAUCAGACUAUAGUCAACAUUACAAUGAUUAGAAAAUCAGCCAGCUGCAUUUCAUCAAUCAGUUUAUGAUGAAGCUUUACAGCAUUGGAAAUGAUUACUCAGGGACCAAACAACUGAGCAGAAAGAAGAACCGUAUGACCUUGAAGAGUAAGCAAUGUAUUAAGUAUAUUUGGGGUUACCAAAGAGUAUGGUAAGAACCUCAUCUUAAAUUAUACUUGAUUGCAGCAGUGGGAUGUUACAGUCAUAGACGUUGGAUAGACUCCGUUGUACUAGGCCAGGGAGGGUAGCGCAGAGUUUCCGCAGCACUAUACAAUAGUAGCAAGAUCACUCUACCAUGAGCUUGUUAAAGGGCCCGUUUGAUGAAAGUGACACCAACGUUCUCCACAACACUACAGAUUUGUUUUUGCAGAUGCAGCCGAGAGGAUGUUUCAGUCAUGGACUCAUUUGAUGGAAGUGGCACCAACAUUCUCAAACACUAAUAAUUUACAAUUUUGUUUUUGUUGUAGAUGCAACCUCAGUCAUACACCCUAGAGUUUGGCUAUGUUGUGACAGAAGAAGAGUGGCAUAUAGACUUCUGUAUGUCCAUUUUUAUGGAAGUGACAAAUUACUAAUCUUUCUUCUUAUAUCCAUUUCAGAGUUCUUACAAAGAUGCAUAGAUUGCAGCAGUGGGAUGUUACAGUCAUAGACGUUGGAUAGACUCCGUUGUACUAGGCCAGGGAGGGUAGCACAGAGUUUCCGCAGCACUAUACAAUAGUAACAAGAUCACUCUACCAUGAGCUUGUUAAAGGGCCCGUUUGAUGAAAGUGACACCAACGUUCUCCACAACACUACAGAUUUGUUUUUGCAGAUGCAGCCGAGAGGAUGUUUCAGUCAUGGACUCAUUUGAUGGAAGUGACACCAACAUUCUCAAACACUAAUAAUUUACAAAUUUGUUUUUGUUGUAGAUGCAACCUCAGUCAUACAACCUAGAGUUUGGCUAUGUUGUGACAGAAGAAGAGUGGCAUGUAGAUUUCUUUUAUGGAAGUGCAAAUAACUAAUCUUUCUUCUUCAUAUCUAUUUCAGAGUUCUUACGAAGAUGUAUAGGUAUGCAGUAUUUAUUAUUUUUGUCUCUGUGUAUUUUUGUCAAUGAGGUAAAACCACAGAACAAAUCAAUCAGAAGUAUUAACUGGUGUAAUUUGAGACCACCCUGGAACACGAGAAAUAUCCUACCUCACAAAAUUUAACAUGAGACAUCUUGUUUUCACCUUUUUUCAAGGAAGCAGCACACACAGUGUAAUCAUGAAGGUAUCCAUGUCCUGGAACAUCUGGGAAUAGCAUAUCUCUAAUAGUAUUUUUACUACUAUCCUCAAAAUUCAAACAAAACAGUCAGAUAUUUUGAUCAACAAGAGGUACA